GCUAUCGGGGUUCGAUUAAGCCAUGCGAGUCGAGAGGUGCAAGACCUCGGCGCACUGCUCAGUAACACGUGGAUAACCUACCCUCAGGAGGGGGAUAACCCCGGGAAACUGGGGAUAAUACCCCAUAGAUCAGGGACGCUGGAAUGCCCCCUGAUUCAAAGGUCCGCCGCCUGAGGAUGGGUCUGCGGCCGAUUAGGUUGUUGUUGGGGUAACGGCCCAACAAGCCAUUGAUCGGUACGGGUUGUGAGAGCAAGAGCCCGGAGAUGGAUUCUGAGACACGAAUCCAGGCCCUACGGGGCGCAGCAGGCGCGAAAACUUUACAAUGCUGGCAACAGCGAUAAGGGAACCCCGAGUGCCCGUAAAUUCGGGCUGUCCGCCAGUGUAAAUAACUGGUGAAGAAAGGGCCGGGCAAGACCGGUGCCAGCCGCCGCGGUAAUACCGGCGGCUCGAGUGGUGGCCACUAUUACUGGGCUUAAAGCGUCCGUAGCUGGAUUGUUAAGUCUCUUGGGAAAUCCACCGGCUCAACCGAUGGGCGUUCAGGAGAAACUGGCAAUCUAGGGACCGGGAGAGGUGAGAGGUACUCCAGGGGUAGGAGUGAAAUCCUGUAAUCCUUGGGGGACCACCUGUGGCGAAGGCGUCUCACUAGAACGGCUCCGACAGUGAGGGACGAAAGCUGGGGGAGCAAACCGGAUU
rnacentral:rRNA from 1 species